rnacentral:tRNA from 1 species
GAAUCCGUCCCCUUAAGUGGGAGACGCGANCUCCCUUGCAAGGAGGAUGCCCUGGGUUCGAAUCCCAGUGAGUCCA